rnacentral:rRNA from 1 species
UACAGAGGUCUCAAGCGUUGUUCGGAAUCACUGGGCGUAAAGGGUGCGUAGGCUGCGUGGAAAGUCAGAUGUGAAAUCCGGAGGCUCAACCUCCGAAUUGCAUCCGAAACUUCCAUGCUAGAGGGUUGUAGAGGAGCUUGGAAUUCUCGGUGUAGCAGUGAAAUGCGUAGAUAUCGAGAAGAACGCUCGCAGCGAAAGCGGGGCUCUGGGCAACUUCUGACGCUGAGGCACGAAGGCUAGGGGAGCAAACGGG